AUUGAACGCUGGCGGCAGGCCUAACACAUGCAAGUCGAACGAGUGGCGGACGGGUGAGUAAUGUAUGGGAAACUGCCUGAUGGAGGGGGAUAACUACUGGAAACGGUAGCUAAUACCGCAUACCAUCGGAUGUGCCCAGCUGGGAUUAGCUAGUCGGUGGGUGAAAGGCUCACCUAGGCGACGAUCCCUAGCUGGUCUGAGAGGAGGACCAGCCAGACUGGAACUGAGACACGGUCCAGACUCCUCCGGUAGGCAGCAGUGGGGAAUAUUGCACAAUGGGCGCAAGCCUGAUGCAGCCAUGCCGCGUGUAUGAAGAAGGCCUUCGGGUUGUAAAGUACUUUCAGCGGGGAGGCGUUACCCGCAGAAGAAGCACCGGCUAACUCCGUGCCAGCAGCCGCGGUAAUAC
rnacentral:rRNA from 1 species